rnacentral:rRNA from 1 species
AUUGAACGCUGGCGGCAGGCCUAACACAUGCAAGUCGAGCGGAUGACGGGAGCUUGCUCCUUGAUUCAGCGGCGGACGGGUGAGUAAUGCCUAGGAAUCUGCCUGGUAGUGGGGGACCAUGUUUCGAAAGGAACGCUAAUACCGCAUACGUCCUACGGGAGAAAGCAGGGGACCUUCGGGCCUUGCGCUAUCAGAUGAGCCUAGGUCGGAUUAGCUACUUGGUGGGGUAAUGGCUCACCAAGGCGACUAUCCGUAACUGGUCUGAGAGGAUGAUCAGUCAUACUGGAACUGAGACACGGUCCAGACUCCUACGGGAGGCAGCAGUGGGGAAUAUUGGACAAUGGGCGAAAGCCUGAUCCAGCCAUGCCGCGUGUGUGAAGAAGGUCUUCGGAUUGUAAAGCACUUUAAGUUGGGAGGAAGGGCAGUAAGUUAAUACCUUGCUGUUUUGACGUUACCGACAGAAUAAGCACCGGCUAACUCCGUGCCAGCAGCCGCGGUAA